UACAAUCUCAUUGUCACAGAUCAAGCUGGAGACAACAGGUAAGUGAAUGAAAGGCAGGUUUAUUGACAGGUAUGGCAAAGGCAGAUAGUCUGGAGCAAUGGCAGGUGAGAAUUCAACACAAAGUAAAGUCCAAUGAUUCUUAGCAGUGUAUUGAUGUUUGCGGAGAAUACGGGAUCCAGGAGCAGAAGAGAACAACGAUGGAAGAUCUUCGGA